AUUGAACGCUGGCGGCAUGCCUUACACAUGCAAGUCGAACGGUAACGCGGGGCAACCUGGCGACGAGUGGCGAACGGGUGAGUAAUGCAUCGGAACGUGCCCAGUAGUGGGGGAUAGACCGGCGAAAGCCGGAUUAAUACCGCAUACGACCUACGGGUGGAAGGGGGGGAUCGCAAGACCUCUCGCUAUUGGAGCGGCCGAUGUCAGAUUAGGUAGUUGGUGGGGUAAAGGACUACCAAGCCUACGAUCUGUAGCUGGUCUGAGAGGACGACCAGCCAAACUGGGACUGAGACACGGCCCAGACUCCUACGGGAGGCAGCAGUGGGGAAUUUUGGACAAUGGGCGCAAGCCUGAUCCAGCCAUGCCGCGUGCGGGAAGAAGGCCUUCGGGUUGUAAACCGCUUUUGUCGGGGAAGAAAUCUUCUGGGCUAAUACCUCGGGAGGAUGACGGUACCCGAAGAAUAAGCACCGGCUAACUACGUGCCAGCCGCCGCAGUAA
rnacentral:rRNA from 1 species